ensembl:lncRNA
AGAGCUUCUCAGUUAAUUGAUGUGGAGUGAGAAGUUUCCCAGGUGACUUUCAUGUGCAACUAGAAUUAAAAACCACUGCACCAGCCACAUCUUCAUUGUCACAUGCUGUUCUCACCAUGUGCCACUGUCUUCACAAGGCCAUCUUCUUGCAAGGACACUGCUGCUGCUGCUGCUAAGUCACUUCAGUCGUGUCCGACUCUGUGCGACCCCAUAGACGGCAGCCCACCAGGCUCCCCCGUCCCUGGGAUUCUCCAGGUACCUAUGUGUGCAUGCUAAGUUGCUUCAGUCAUGUCUGACUCUUCGCAACCCUAUGGACUGGAACCUGCCAGACUCAUCUAUCCAUGGGAUUCUGCAGGCAAGAACACUGGAGUGGGUUGCCAUGUCCUCCUCCAGGGGAAUCUUCCCAACCCAGGGAUCGAAUCCACAUCUCAUAUGUCUCCUGCUUUGGUAGG